UACGCAGGGGGCUAGCGUUGCUCGGAAUCACUGGGCGUAACGGGUGCGUAGGCGGGUCUUUAAGUCAGGGGUGAAAUCCUGGAGCUCAACUCCAGAACUGCCUUUGAUACUGAAGAUCUUGAGUUCGGGAGAGGUGAGUGGAACUGCGAGUGUAGAGGUGAAAUUCGUAGAUAUUCGCAAGAACACCAGUGGCGAAGGCGGCUCACUGGCCCGAUACUGACGCUGAGGCACGAAAGCGUGGGGAGCAAACAGG
rnacentral:rRNA from 1 species